rnacentral:tRNA from 1 species
CAAUAAGUAGUUUAUAGAAAAUAUGGUGUUUGGGGCAUUGAGAUUGUUUAUUGAUAAGUUGA